UCCGGUUUAGACCGGCGGUCUCCCUAGAGAUUUCAACUAAGGACAAGGGUUUCUCGUGUAUGUCAAGCCUAGGUAAGGUUCUUCGCGUUGCGUCGAAUUAAACCACAUGCUCCACUGCUUGUGCGGGUCCCCGUCAAUUCCUUUGAGUUUCAGCCUUGCGGCCGUACUCCCCAGGCGGGGCACUUAAUGCGUUAGCGCCGGCACUCAGAGGGUCGCUCCCCCAAGCACCUAGUGCCCAUCGUUUACGGCGUGGACUAC
rnacentral:misc_RNA from 1 species